CAAGACGAGGGAACACUUGACGGCUCUGAAGUGGGGAGCAGCUUGGCCUGUACAAUGGAACCUGAGGCCUGAGUCCAGUUAACAAGAGAUUGAGCUCAGGAGUCCGAGACCAGCCUGGGCAACAUGGCGAAACCCUGUCUCUACAAAAAAUUACAAAUAUUAGCCGGGUGUGGUGGUGCGUGCCUGUAGUCCUACCUACUGAGAGGCCGAGGCAGGAGAAUCGCUGUGGCCCCGGAGGUCCAAGCUGCAAUGAGCUGUCAACUGCACUCCAACCCGGGUGACAAGGUGAGACCCUGUCUCAAACUAAAACAAACAAAAAAACCGAGAGCGGAGUAAUGGGGAAGUGGCCAGAUUCCCAUCUAAAGUAACCACUUCGAUUUUGGGGGGAAAGAGAACGGCUUAAAAGGAAAAUUUGAUAUGGGAAGCAUGCAAGAAUUGUACAGAGUACAACGUCUGUGUGUCUUGUUCUGGUGGCUAUCUUGGGUCCCAGCCUACCUGGAGCGUGGGCUGGUCUCAUCUCCACAAUGGCCCCGCUGUUGACUAGCCACCUUGAAGUAAUCUUUGGAAUUUUGCAGCUGUGUCUCCAGGCUUGGUUUGUCUGUCUCAAGAUUAGCCCUUGGAACUUCUCAGAAGGCAGAUAAUUAAAUACUAGCAUACAGUAAGAUAAAUGUGAAGGGAGUAUAUACAGUGAGAAAGGGAGGGAUAUGGGGUCUAUUUUACAGCUAAGGGAAAAGGCUUUUGCAGUUUGCUUCAAGGUUGUAUCUUGAAACCCAAGAGAAAGGAAAAAAAGUUUUAAAAUGUAUUUUAAAGUUAAACUGCUGGAUUAGUUUCUUCUGUCUAAAACAUUGCCAUCUCCUCUCCUGCCUAUGCCUUGAACUUUUAAAUUAUGUUUUCUAGUUAGCGAUCUCCCAGUUUACUUGGACAAAGGGCUUUUCCAUC
rnacentral:lncRNA from 1 species